AAUAGAUACCCGGCUAGUCCACGCCGUAAACGUUGGGCGCUAGAUGUGGGGGCCAUUCCACGGUUUCCGCGUCGUAGCUAACGCAUUAAGCGCCCCGCCUGGGGAGUACGGCCGCAAGGCUAAAACUCAAAGGAAUUGACGGGGGCCCGCACAAGCGGCGGAGCAUGCGGAUUAAUUCGAUGCAACGCGAAGAACCUUACCAAGGCUUGACAUAUACGAGAACACUGCAGAAAUGUAGGACUCUUUGGACACUCGUAUACAGGUGGUGCAUGGUUGUCGUCAGCUCGUGUCGUGAGAUGUUGGGUUAAGUCCCGCAACGAGCGCAACCCUCGUCGCAUGUUGCCAGCACGUAAAGGUGGGAACUCAUGUGAGACUGCCGGGGUCAACUCGGAGGAAGGUGGGGAUGACGUCAAAUCAUCAUGCCCCUUAUGUCUUGGGCUUCACGCAUGCUACAAUGGCCGGUACAAAGGGCUGCAAUACCGUAAGGUGGAGCGAAUCCCAAAAAGCCGGUCUCAGUUCGGA
rnacentral:rRNA from 1 species